rnacentral:lncRNA from 1 species
AAUCCCAUGUGAUGACGUAGAAUUCUUCAACCUGGGCCUUUCUUAGCAGCCCUCCCGUGCUUCCUGAAAAAAUGGGUGAUGGAGUGUUUGGGUCCAAUUCGGGAGGGGUGAAGCCCACGGGAGCUUCUUCCUUCGUGGCAGCCUCCUGGUCUGCAGCUGCAGCCCUAAUGGUACUGUGAGCCAUGGAGAGGUUGAGGGACUUGGGGGUAGCGAAUGAAAAUGACGAGGAUGGCUUCCAUGGCACCAGGGAUUUCGGGGUGCUGAUUGUGGGGGUGAAGAGGCCUGCUUGCGUUGCCAUGGCGAUGUAGAUGAUGGAUGUUGAGGUGCAGUAGGAGUUUGUUUUUGUUGGUGUUUGUGGAGAGCUUUGGCUUGGAGAUUUGUGUGAUGGAUUACGAA